UACGGAGGAUCCAAGCGUUAUCCGGAAUCAUUGGGUUUAAAGGGUCCGUAGGCGGCUUUAUAAGUCAGUGGUGAAAGCCCAUCGCUUAACGAUGGAACGGCCAUUGAUACUGUAGAGCUUGAAUUACUGUGAAGUAACUAGAAUAUGUAGUGUAGCGGUGAAAUGCUUAGAUAUUACAUGGAAUACCAAUUGCGAAGGCAGGUUACUAACAGUGGAUUGACGCUGAUGGACGAAAGCGUGGGGAGCGAACAGG
rnacentral:rRNA from 1 species